rnacentral:rRNA from 1 species
GAUGAACGCUGACAGAAUGCUUAACACAUGCAAGUCGAUGGGGAAGUGGUGCUUGCACCAUGGCAACCAUGGCGGACGGGUGUGUAACUCGUAAGGGACUUACCUGCAGGACUGGGAUAACAGGGGGAAACUCCUGACAAGACCGGACAAUGUCAUGGAGCUGCAUGGCUUUAUGAUGUAAGGAGACGCCUGCGGAGAGCCUUUCGUCCUAUUAGCUAGUUGGUGAGGUAAUGGCUCACCAAGGCGAAGAUAGGCAGCCGGCCUGAGAGGGUGGACGGCCACAAGGGGACUGAGAUACGGCCCUUACUACUACGGGAGGCAGCAGUGGGGAAUAUUGGACAAUGGGGGCAACCCUGAUCCAGCAGUUCUGUGUGCACGAAGAAGGUUUUCGGAUUGGAUAGUGAUUUCAGCAGAGAAGGAGUAAGUGACGGUACCUGCGGAAGAAGCGACGGCUAAAUACGUG